rnacentral:rRNA from 1 species
CCUACGGGUGGCAGCAGUGGGGAAUAUUGGACAAUGGGCGAAAGCCUGAUCCAGCCAUGCCGCGUGUGUGUAGAAGGCCUUCGGGUUGUAAAGCACUUUCAGUGGGGAAGAAAGCCUUGGGGCUAAUACCCUCGAGGAAGGACAUCACCCACAGAAGAAGCACCGGCUAACUCCGUGCCAGCAGCCGCGGUAAUACGGAGGGUGCGAGCGUUAAUCGGAAUUACUGGGCGUAAAGCGCGCGUAGGCGGUCUGAUAAGCCGGUUGUGAAAGCCCCGGGCUCAACCUGGGAACGGCAUCCGGAACUGUCAGGCUAGAGUGCAGGAGAGGAAGGUAGAAUUCCCGGUGUAGCGGUGAAAUGCGUAGAGAUCGGGAGGAAUACCAGUGGCGAAGGCGGCCUUCUGGACUGACACUGACGCUGAGGUGCGAAAGCGUGGGUAGCAAACAGGAUUAGAUACCCUAGUAGUC